rnacentral:rRNA from 1 species
CCUACGGGUAGCAGCAGUGAGGAAUAUUGGUCACUGGGCGCGAGCCUGAACCAGCCAAGUCGCGUGAGGGAAGACGGUCCUAUGGAUUGUAAACCUCUUUUGUCGGGGAGCAAAAGACGCCACGCGUGUCGUUCCGAGAGUCCCCGAAGAAACAGCAUCGGCUCACUCCGUGCCAGCAGCCGCGGUAAUACGAGGGAUGCUAGCAUUAUCCGGAUUUAUUGGGUUUAAAGGGUGCGCAGGCGGAAGAUCAAGUCAGCGGUAACAUUGAGAGGCUCACCCGCUUCGAGACGUUGAAACUGGUUUUCUUGAGUGAGCGAGAAGUAUGCGGAAUGCGUGGUGUAGCGGUGAAAUGCAUAGAUAUCACGCAGAACUCCGAUUGCGAAGGCAGCAUACCGGCGCUCAACUGACGCUCAUGCACGAAAGUGUGGGUAUCGAACAGGAUUAGAUACCCUUGUAGUC